rnacentral:rRNA from 1 species
UACGUAGGUGGCAAGCGUUGUCCGGAUUUAUUGGGUUUAAAGGGUGCGUAGGCGGCUUAUUAAGUCAGUGGUGAAAUAUGGCAGCUUAACUGUCAGGGUGCCAUUGAUACUGAUGAGCUUGAGUACAGAUGAGGUAGGCGGAAUUGACGGUGUAGCGGUGAAAUGCAUAGAUAUCGUCAAGAACACCUAUAGCGAAGGCAGCUUACUAAGCUGUAACUGACGCUGAGGCACGAAAGUGUGGGGAUCAAACAGG